GAUGAACGCUGGCGGCGUGCCUAAUACAUGCAAGUCGAACGCUGGAAAUCUAGCUUGCUAGAUUGAAGGAGUGGCGAACGGGUGAGUAAUACAUAAGCAACCUACCCACGAAGACUGGGCUAAUCUCUGGAAACGGGGACUAAUACCGGAUAGGUAAUCGGAAGGCAUCUUCUGAUUAUUAAAGGUUAAAACCACUGGUGGAUGGGCUUAUGGCGCAUUAGUUAGUUGGUGAGGUAACGGCCCACCAAGACGAUGAUGCGUAGGCGGCCUGAGAGGGUGAACGGCGACAUGGGGACGGAGACACGGCCCAGACUCCUACGGGAGGCAGAAGUAGGGAAUUUUCGGCAAUGGGGGAAACCCUGACCGAGCAACGACGCGUGAGAGAUGACGGCCUUCGGGUUGUAAAGCUCUGUUGUAAGGGAAGAACGGUAGAUAGAGAAUAUCUAAAUGACGGUACCUUACCAGAAAGCCACGGCUAACUACGUG
rnacentral:rRNA from 1 species